rnacentral:rRNA from 1 species
UACGAAGGGUGCAAGCGUUGCUCGGAAUUAUUGGGCGUAAAGGGUUGGUAGGUGGUCUUGUUUGUCUAAGGUGAAAUCCCAUGGCUUAACUGUGGAAGUGCCUUAGAAACGGCAAGACUAGAGUCCUAGAGGGUUUGUGGAAUUCCCGGUGUAGCGGUGAAAUGCGUAGAGAUCGGGAGGAACACCAAGCGCGAAGGCGGCAAACUGGAUAGGCACUGACACUCAACAACGAAAGCGUGGGGAGCAAACAGG